GGCUCAGUAGCUCAGGGGAAGAGCAGGGGAUUCAUAAGCCCUUGGUCACAAGUUCAAAUCUUGUUUGAGCCA
rnacentral:tRNA from 1 species